rnacentral:rRNA from 1 species
AAUCAACGCUGGCGGCGUGCCUAACACAUGCAAGUCGAACGCGAAAGCCCGCAAGGGUGAGUAGAGUGGCGCACGGGUGAGUAACACGUGGACAACCUGCCUUCGAGUGGGGAAUAACCUUCCGAAGGAGGGCUAAUACCGCAUAACACCUCGGGACACAAGUUCUGGGGUUGAAAAGAGCAAUUUGCUCGAAGAGGGGUCCGCGCCUGAUUAGCUAGUUGGUGAGGUAACGGCUCACCAAGGCUUCGAUCAGUAGCCGUCCUGAGAGGGAGCACGGCCACACUGGAACUGAGACACGGUCCAGACUCCUACGGGAGGCAGCAGUGGGGAA